GCGCCUGGGAGGGAGCAACCAUAGCAAAGAGAUCGCGACUGGAGGGCUCAAGCCCAGGAUCACACGGCCACAGAGCCCACGCCCUUUGCAGUUCAACCUCUGCCCUUCAGUAGCCCACAUAACAGGAGAGAUGUAUAUACACAGAGCUCAGUCUGAGUCCAAUGACCCGUGUCCCUGUAAGGGAAAGCAGAGGGAGAUUCAGACACAUGGAGGAAAAGGCCAGGUGAAGCGGGAGGCAGAGAUUGGAGCGACGUGGCCACAAGCCGGGGGAGGCGGAGGCUUGCCGGAAGCCACCAGAAGACAGCCACGAGAUGCGUUUCCCCCUCAGAGCCUCCAGAAGGAACCAACCCAGUCAACGCCUUGACUUCAGAUCUCCGGUGUCCAGGACUAGGAGAGGAUCCUUUUCUGUUGCUUUAAGCCGAACAGUCUGUGGUCAUUAGGUAUUACAGCUCUACAUCACUCAUACAGUGCCUUCUUGUGUUUUUAUUUGAUUGAUUUUAUGUUUAUUUCUGAGAGAGAGAGAGCGUGUGCGCGGGGGAGAGAGGGGGGCAGAGGGAAAGAGAGAAUCUCAAGCAGGCUUCCAACGCGGGGCUCGAUCCCACGGCCCUGGGAUCGUCACCUGAGCUGAAAUCAAGAUCGGACGCUCAACUGACUGAGCCACCCGGGCGCCCCGCCUUCUUGUGUUUUCAGAGGUGCUCGUGUGUCUACAGAACAAGCGUACGUAGCUCUGGUUGGAUCUCCAGAGAGCGCUGUCCAGCAGAAACCUAACACACACGCCAAGUGCAAGCCACACGUGGAACUUGACAUUUGCGAGUCACCGUGUCGGGGCGCCUGGGCGGCUCAGUCUGUUAAGCGUCCGACUUCGGCUCGGGUCGUGAUCGCCCGGUCCGUGAGUUCGAGCCCCGCAUUGCGUGAGCUCAAGUCCCACUUCGGGCGAGCUCGAGCCCCAACUCUGGGCUCUGCACUCUGCACUCUCUCUCCCUCUGACCCUCGCUCACGUGUGCUCUCUCUCUCUCUAAAAUGAAAAAACAAAUUUUUUUCUUGUAGCCAUGUUAAAAAAAAAAUGUAUCAGGUGGAAUUAAUUUCUAUAAUCGUAUGAGUUCCCUGUGGCCACUGUAACAAAUUACCCGGAACUUGGUGACUUAGAAGAGUAGGAAUUUAGUCUUUCACGAUUCUGGAGGCCAGAAGUCUGACGCCAAGGCGUUGGCAGGGUUUUGCUCCCUGCCACAGCGUCCAGGAGAAUCUGUCCCUUGCCUCUUCUGGCUCCUGGUGAUGCUGGGAUUCCUUGGCUUGUGGCCACCUCUCUCCAGCCUGCUGUCUCCUCUUCUCCACGUGUCUGUGUAAAUCUCCCUCCGUCUCUCAUUGAUCAAGAUACGUGUGAUCGCAUUCGGGGUUUACCUGGGUAAUCCCAGGGUAAUCUCCCCAUCUCGAGAUCUUUAACUGUGUCACAAUUGCAAAGAAGGACCCCUUUUCCCAAAAGGCAACACGGGUUCCAGGAAUAGGAACUGAUAUCUUUGGAAUAUUAUGCGGCAUAUUAUAAUAAUGUAUUUGAUUUAACCUAAUAUAUCCGGGUGCCUGGGCGGCUCAGUCAAUUAAGCACCUGACUCUUGAUUUCGGCUCAGGUCAUCAUCCACAGUUGGUGAGCCUGAGCCCCGAGUCAGGCUCUCUGCCCUGACAGUGUGGGACCUACUUGGGAUUCUCUCUCUCUGCCCUUCCCUGCUUGUGUGCUCUUUCUCUCUCUCUCUCUC